CCUACGGGAGGCAGCAGUGGGGAAUCUUGCGCAAUGGGCGAAAGCCUGACGCAGCCAUGCCGCGUGAAUGAUGAAGGUCUUAGGAUUGUAAAAUUCUUUCACCGGGGACGAUAAUGACGGUACCCGGAGAAGAAGCCCCGGCUAACUUCGUGCCAGCAGCCGCGGUAAUACGAAGGGGGCUAGCGUUGCUCGGAAUUACUGGGCGUAAAGGGAGCGUAGGCGGAUAGUUUAGUCAGAGGUGAAAGCCCAGGGCUCAACCUUGGAAUUGCCUUUGAUACUGGCUAUCUUGAGUGUGGGAGAGGUAUGUGGAACUCCGAGUGUAGAGGUGAAAUUCGUAGAUAUUCGGAAGAACACCAGUGGCGAAGGCGACAUACUGGCCCAUUACUGACGCUGAGGCUCGAAAGCGUGGGGAGCAAACAGGAUUAGAUACCCUGGUAGUCCACGCUGUAAACGAUGAGUGCUAGUUGUCGGCAGCAUGCUCGUCGGUGCGCNGCUACGCAUAAGACACCUCCGCCGUCGGGGUAGGUACGGUCGGCGAAGAAGUUAAAACGUUUAAAGUUAGUUAAGUUAGUACGGCGUUGAGACGUUGCCGACGGACGACGACGAGGGAGGAGG
rnacentral:rRNA from 1 species